GGGAAGCAGGUUAAUAUUCCUGCACCAUUGUUGAAUGCGAUGGGGGGACGGAUCGCGGAAGGUUGUCCGGGUGUUGGAAGUCCCGGUCCUUGCAUUGGAGAAGGCGCUUUGGCAAAUCCGGGCGCGGAAUUCAAGGGUGCGAGGCCAGCAGCUUAGGCUGCGAAGCAAUCGGAAGUGGUUCCAGGAAAAGCCUCUAAGCUUCAGUUCAACAAGACCGUACCGCAAACCGACACAGGUGGGCGAGAUGAGUAUUCU
rnacentral:rRNA from 1 species